GACGAACGCUUUCGGCGUGCUUAACACAUGCAAGUCGAACGAAGUGGCGUACGGGUGAGUAACGCGUAAUCAACCUGCCCUUCAGAGGGGGCCAACAGUUGUAAACGACUGCUAAUACCUCAUACUGAAGGACGGCAUUGCGUCUGAUUAGCUAGUUGGACGGGUAACGUCCCACCAAGGCGAUGAUCAGUAGCCGGGCUGAGAGGAUGAAAGGCAACAUUGGGACUGAGAAACGGCCCAGACUCCGACGGGAGGCAGCAGUGGGGAAUCGUCCGCAAUGGACGAAAGUCUGACGGAGCAACGCCGCGUGAGUGAUGACGGCCUUCGGGUUGUAAAGCUCUGUUAAUCGGGACGCGGUACCGGAAUAGAAAGCCACGGCUAACUACGUGCCAGCAGCCGCGGUAAUAC
rnacentral:rRNA from 1 species